AUUUUGGUUUUGAGACCCAGCGCCACAAUUUCCCCCUAUCUUUUCAUUUCCCGCUAUGUAAAAACCCUAAAAACUAUUCAGAUCCCCAAUUCUUCAUCCUCCUCCGCUCAAACUUCCGGCACAUCUCCACGCCGACCUCGACAUUGUCGAGAUCCCCCCUCCUCCGCAUCUCCUUAAUAGCCCCAUCCUCCUCCAUGGUCGGCCUCAGAUUCGCUCUGCUCCAUGAUUGGAUUCGGUUCCCUCAUCGUCAAAUCGGCAGACUCUCUCUCUCUAGACGAAGACAAUGACGAUGUUUUUUGAACUGAACACCGGCGCUAAGGACCCGGUGGUUGGUCUGGGGACGUGGCAAGCAGAUGCCGGAGGCAUCCGAGGUGUUGUGAUUGCUGUCGUCAAGUUUCACAUCAUGACAUUGUACAUAAGUAUCAGAAAGUUGCCACCAUCGUCAAUCCACGAGCUCCUCCCAGACUCCGUCAAAUCCUUCUCCGUCUCCUCCAACGGCCACUUCACCGUCAACCUCCAAUCCCCCUGCUACAUCCACUUCGAUUACCUUGUCCACUACGCCGACACCAUCACCGGCGUCAUCAAGUAUGGAUCGACCGACGAGCUGAAGGGGAUCAAGAGGAGGAAUUCGAGCUGGUUGCGGGCCAUCGAUUCGCCGACGAAGGCAGAGGAGGGAUUCACGCCGUUCUUCCUUUCGAUCUGGGGGAUUGGGGUUCGGUUGGCAAUGGGCGAGCUCUGCGCUGAAACUUGGUUUUUGUUGUGAAGCAUAUUGAGAAUAGAUCGGAUUCCCUUCAAGGGAGGCAUACUCAAUGCAUUUCGAUACUAUAGCAAAGUUGCUGUACAUGGAUUGCUCUCAAUGUUGUUGAUCAAGGAGGAGGAAACAUGAUGCUUCAACAACUUGGAGGAGUAAAUGCAAUUGGAUUCUAUAAAUUAUGCAAAGUUCAUCAAGUUAUGUAAACAAUUGUAUUCUUUAUAAUCUAUGUAAAAAUUUUAUGUA